AUGGAAAGAGGCCCUGAUCAACAGCAACGUGGACAGGAGAAGACUAUCAACCGCAAUGUUGAGCGGGGCAGUUCUGCCCUUGAUUCCCCCAAGAUGUCUCAGUCUGGUCCAAAAGUGGAAAAAUCCUCUAGCCAACAGCAGGAGGAAGAUAAGCUGCCCAAAAAAGACAACAGGAAAGCAAAAGAAAGCUCUGCAAAGCCUCUGAACCACAAACCUGAGGCCAGGACUAAAGAGAAAAGUGCCUCCUCAUUUCUCAAGAAGAGCAAGGACAAAAGCCCUUUGGCUCCUGCAUCAUCCACCACCACCACCACCACCACCGCUGGAAGAACUACCACCAAAAGAUUUCCCCUAAAGCAGAAAAUACGCGCAGUCAACAUAAAGGCCCUGCAGCUGCCAAAUAUUAACAACCCGUCUCAAGGCAUAAAAGACCUGGAAAUCCGACUGCUGCAAGUCGAGUGCGAGGAGCUCAAAACCCGGCUGGGCUGCCUAAGGGAAGGGCUAGUGGGUCAAAAACCAAGCGAUAUGGAGGAUUUAUUGAAACAGUCUCAGAAGGAGCUGUUGUGGCUUCAGAGGCAGCUGUCCUUCAUCUCAACAGGCGGCCCUGCGUGUGUAUUGUCAACUAGCAAGGCCCCCUUCAGAGGAUCUUGGCGCACUCCAGGGUGUCCCAAAACCCUGAUUGAGAAUCACUGGUGUAGAGACUCAGACUUGAAUGUGGCUGCUCUGGGAAGUAAACCUGCUGUGUAG
rnacentral:lncRNA from 1 species